GCAUUGGUGGUUCAGUGGUAGAAUUCUCACCUUCCAUGCAGGAGAUCCAGGUUCGAUUCCCAGCCAAUACA
rnacentral:tRNA from 1 species